GGUCCGACAGAGAAACAAAAAGGAGAAAGAAAAAACGCGCGCGAAAAAAUCUUUAAUUAUUUUUCAUGAGUCAUCUGUAAUCAUUAAACAUUAACUAAAUAUUAUUGAGUCCAAUUUACAGUGCAGUUAAUGUGCAAUGUUUAAGACAAGAGCA